AUGCAGAGGUGCCUACUCAAGCUCUGGGGGAAGUUGCAAGCAAAGGAUGAAGAGAUAAGCAGGCUUAAAAUGGAUAUUGAACAAGUGAACCUUAAGCUAGAGAACCUUGUUGCAGCUGUGGAAAGAAGUAAUGUAACUACCAUGAAGAUUGACAGGCAAAAGAAGCAGAUGGGUAUCAUUGAUAAAGACGUCAAGCGCAUUCAGAGGUCUCUCACAAGUGCCAUUCAUAAUCUUAAGGACGACAAGGGUGAUAUUAAGCUGGACAGGGAUUUUCUGAAGGAGGAGGUGCAUAAGCUGAACGAGAAUAGAAGCAAGAUGCAAAGUGCCAUCUAUGAUCUUUUGGGGCAAGGGUUUGCGAACACUGAUGACCUCCUGAUGAUCAAGGCAAUCCUUGAAGAAUGA
rnacentral:rRNA from 1 species